ACGUAGGGUGCAAGCGUUGUCCGGAUUUAUUGGGCGUAAAGAGCUCGUAGGCGGUUUGUUACGUCGGAUGUGAAAUCCUGGAGCUUAACUCCGGGCCUGCAUUCGAUACGGGCAGACUCGAGUGUUGUAGGGGAGACUGGAACUCCUGGUGUAGCGGUGAAAUGCGCAGAUAUCAGGAAGAACACCGAUGGCGAAGGCAGGUCUCUGGGCAACUACUGACGCUGAGGAGCGAAAGCGUGGGGAGCAAACAGGAUUAGAUACCCUGGUAGUCCACGCCGUAAACGGUGGGCGCUAGGUGUGGGGAGCAUUCCACGUUCUCCGCGCCGCAGCUAACGCAUUAAGCGCCCCGCCUGGGGAGUACGGUCGCAAGACUA
rnacentral:rRNA from 1 species